rnacentral:rRNA from 1 species
GACGAACGCUGGCGGCGUGCUUAACACAUGCAAGUCGAACGGAAAGGCCCUGCUUUUGUGGGGUGCUCGAGUGGCGAACGGGUGAGUAACACGUGAGUAACCUGCCCUUGACUUUGGGAUAACUUCAGGAAACUGGGGCUAAUACCGGAUAGGAGCUCCUGCUGCAUGGUGGGGGUUGGAAAGUUUCGGCGGUUGGGGAUGGACUCGCGGCUUAUCAGCUUGUUGGUGGGGUAGUGGCUUACCAAGGCUUUGACGGGUAGCCGGCCUGAGAGGGUGACCGGCCACAUUAGGACUGGGAUACGGCCCAGACUCCUACGGGAGGCAGCAGUGGGGAAUAUUGCACAAUGGGCGGAAGCCUGAUGCAGCAACGCCGCGUGCGGGAUGUGGGCCUUCGGGUUGUAAACCGCUUUCGCCUGUGACGAAGCGUGAGUGACGGUAAUGGGUAAAGAAGCACGGGCUAACUACGUG